rnacentral:rRNA from 1 species
GAUGAACGCUGGCGGCGUGCCUAAUACAUGCAAGUCGAGCGCACGGACGAGAAGCUUGCUUCUCUGAUGUUAGCGGCGGACGGGAGAGUAACAUGUGGAUAACCUACCUAUAAGACUGGGAUAACUACGGGAAACCGGCGCUAAUACCGGAUAAUAUUUUGAACCGCAUGGUUCAAAAGUGAAAGACGGUCUUGCGGUCUCUUAUAGAUGGAUCCGCGCUGCAUUAGCUAGUUGGUAAGGUAACGGCUUACCAAGGCAACGAUGCAUAGCCGACCUGAAAGGGUGAUCGGCCACACUGGAACUGAGACACGGUCCAGACUCCUGCGGGAGGCAGCAGUAGGGAAUCUUCCGCGAUGGGCGAAAGGCUGACGGAGCAACGCCGCGUGAGUGAUGAAGGUCUUCGGAUCGUAAAACUCUGUUAUUAGGGAAGAACAUAUGUGUAAGUAACUGUGCACAUCUUGACGGUACCUAAUCAGAAAGCCACGGCUAACUACGUG